rnacentral:rRNA from 1 species
CCCUUAGAUGUUCUGGGCCGCACGCGCGCUACACUGAUGCAUUCAACGAGUCUAAAACCUGCUCUGAUAGGGGUGGGUAAUCUUUUGAAUGUGCAUCGUGAUUGGGAUAGAUGAUUGCAAUUUUUCAUCUUCAACGAGGAAUGCCUAGUAAACGCAAGUCAUCAGCUUGCAUUGAUUACGUCCCUGCCCUUUGUACACACCGCCCGUCGCUCCUACCGAUUGAAUGAUCCGAUGAAUAUCAUGGAUUGAGGAUGCAAGUAGGUUAGCCUAUCUUCAUCUUCGAGAAGUGAAGUAAAUCUUAUCAUUUAGAGGAAGGAGUAGUCGUAACA